AUUGAACGCUGGCGGCAUGCUUUACACAUGCAAGUCGAACGGUAACAGGCCGCAAGGUGCUGACGAGUGGCGAACGGGUGAGUAAUGCAUCGGAACGUGCCCAGUCGUGGGGGAUAACGCAGCGAAAGCUGUGCUAAUACCGCAUACGAUCUAUGGAUGAAAGCGGGGGACCGUAAGGCCUCGCGCGAUUGGAGCGGCCGAUGUCAGAUUAGGUAGUUGGUGGGGUAAAGGCUCACCAAGCCAACGAUCUGUAGCUGGUCUGAGAGGACGACCAGCCACACUGGGACUGAGACACGGCCCAGACUCCUACGGGAGGCAGCAGUGGGGAAUUUUGGACAAUGUGCGCAAGCCUGAUCCAGCAAUGCCGCGUGCAGGAAGAAGGCCUUCGGGUUGUAAACUGCUUUUGUACGGAACGAAACGGCGAGCUCUAAUACAGUUUGCUAAUGACGGUACCGUAAGAAUAAGUGGUUGCUAACUCUGUGCCAGCCGCCGCAGUAA
rnacentral:rRNA from 1 species